AACAUUAACUUUUUCACUUCACUUUACUCUUUCACUGCACUUUCUUCGUUCAGCUUUCCUCCUUCACAUUUCCAUCCAGAUUUUUGAUUAACCAAAGAGAUUAUGAACCAAGCUGAAGAGAGGUGAAGAUAGCUGAAGAACCGAUUCUCCUUUCUGAUACACGCUGAAGAGUUGAGUUAAAGAGUUGCAGUCAUCAAAGAACUCAUAUCUCAAGUCGUCUUCUCCAAAUAACAAUUUUUUGAAGAGCAAGAAUGAAUAUUUUUGGGUUGUUGGCAAGAUGAUGAAUUGAAGCUAAUUAGUCUCUCUGUCACACUUUUCUCUCAAGUUUCUCACUGAAGAACACAAUUUCAAACAGAUUUUGUUGGAGUAGGCUUUAUCAUUUUUCCCAAUCUUUGUUCGAGUUCGUGAUUCUGCCCAGAAUUCUCAUCCGUUGUUAGUGUUCAAGUUUCUUGGUAAAGAUCGUUUCCCUGCUCGUCCCGUUCCAGUUCACUACCUGAAGAAAGACCUCAUUCGAAGAGCUGAAGGACGGAAGCUGAAGAACUGAUUUCAUCAAAUUUGUUUACUAGAGGAAUUGAUAUUCAAGCAGUUAACGUUGUUAUCAAUUCUGAUUUUCCUAAGAACUCAGAAACGUAUUUGCACAGGGGAAAUGGAGGUGAUCAAAUUUGAAGUGGAUGAUGAAGAGCUUUUGAA